rnacentral:lncRNA from 1 species
AAAAAUAAUAGGCAGGACAGGAGUUUUGAGUUAAAAAAAAGGCAGGAUGAGACACUUUGCAAAAAAAAAAAGGCAGGAUGACAAUUUAGGUAAAAAAAGUCAGGAUAAACUAAUAAAAAAAAGGCAGGACCGAAUAGAGUGAAAAAUAAAAAGGCAGGACAGAGAUUACAACUAAAGAAAAAUGCAGGAAAAUUUUUUUCAUCCUAG